GACGAACGCUGGCGGCGUGCUUAACACAUGCAAGUCGAACGGAAAGGCCCUGCUUUUGUGGGGUGCUCGAUUGGCGAACGGGUGAGUAACACGUGAGGAACCUGCCCUUGACUUUGGGAUAACUUCAGGAAACUGGGGCGAAUACCGGAUAGGAGCUCCUGCUGCAUGGAGGGGGUUGGAAAGUUUCGGCGGUUGGGGCUGGACUCGCGGCUUAUCAGCUUGUUGGGGUGGUAGUGGCUUACCAAGGCUUUGACGGGUAGCCGGCCUGAGAGGGUGACCGGGCACAUUGGUACUGAGAUACGGCCCAGACUCCUACGGGAGGCAGCGGUGGGGAAUAUUGCACAAUGGGCGGAAGCCAGAUGCAGCAACGCUGCGUGCGGGAUGACGUCCUUCGGGUUGUAAACAGCUUUGGACUGUGACGAAGCGUGAGUGACGGUAAUGGGUAAAGAAGCACCGGCUAACUACGUG
rnacentral:rRNA from 1 species